UCUCCCAGGUAACAAGUGACAGGACAACAGGACAGCAGCCUCAGACUCCACCAGGGGAGGUUUAGGUUGGACAUCAAGAGGAAUUUCAUCAUGGAAAGGGUUGUUAAACAUUGGAAUGGGCGGGCACCCCAGUGAAGUCACCAUCCCAGGAAGUGUUCAAGAAACAACUACACAUGAUGGCAUUUGGUGCCACGGUCUAGUUGACAAGGUGGUGGGUGACCAGUCAAAGGUUGGACUCGAUGAUCUCAAAGGUCUUAUCCUAAAUGGUUCAGUGACCUCUCAAUCUAACAUUCAUCCAAGUCCUAACUGAAACAUUACUUUUAACACUGUGCAGUAAAAUUGCAUUUAAUAUAAGAAGUUCAGGCUGUGGGCAUCUCCUGGACUUUAAGUCAAUGAGAUUCAAAGCGCCAGUGGCCUGAUUCAAUGAUCUUAAAAAUCUGCUAUGUUGUCUGCAGUUACAGACUCACAUUUAGAAGGCAAAUCUCUGCUGCAAAUAAGCACAUUUAUUUUCAGACUUACAUGAUGACAACUUCUUAGAAAAGGAAAAAUAUUUGUAUGUAAGGGUUCUUACUUCCUGCACAUAUCUGUCAUUCGCCUGUAAAUUAACUACUUUUAGUGAGACUGCUGUCAAAACUCUGUAUUUAAGAAAAAUCCAAACAAAAAUCAGCAUGAACAUUAAUAUGUUUUACAGUUAAACUUCACUAGUAUUUUUACAUUCAUACAUUCUAUUAAUUUGUUCAGGCUUUUCCUUCAUAAUCAUUAACUUAAAACAGGAGAACAGUGUCUGGCUUUCUGCUUUAUAAUUAGAUUUAAACCAAUUACAGGAAAGUGAAUACAGAAGAAAUCAAAGUAUAUAAACUCCAAAUUAAAUGUUUGAUUUGUAAACUGUAGUGGGAUUUGGACAUUCCUGAUGAUGAUUCUCAUGAAACUGUGGCAGUAACUUUACCCUGCUUCUAAGCACAUUUAAAUACUUUUUGUAUUCAGACGGUACCAGAUGCUGUGGAAGGCUUGGGGUUUAGGACUAAGUCCGUCAUCGACCAUUGAACUGCAGACAAGUAGACAGACAGCUUGGAAAAUCUUGCAGGCCCAAAGGAUUUUCUUCAUGCCAGAACUUGCCCUGUGCCUCUUUACUAAAGCUGCAAGACUUUACCUGGAGGAGAGAGGCCUUGGAGCUUUUAUUGUGCCUUGCAAGCCCAGAUUACGUCGAUCACGUUGACUGGUCACAGAAACUUGACCCAUGCAAAGAACAUCAGAGGCUUUUUGGGACCCAUGAGACAGCAACACAGCCCCCUACACCAACUAAAGAUCACAUCUUUAGCACAGGAUACUGAUUUUGCUGCUUCAGUAAUAAAGUAUGUCUAAGCAUUAGGACUGUCUGUGGU
rnacentral:lncRNA from 1 species